CAAUAGCGUAUAUUUAAGUUGUUGCAGUUAAAAAGCUCGUAGUUGGAUUUCGGGUGGGACGCAGCGGUCUCGCAUUGCGUUUGUACUGCUGCAGCCCUCCUUCUUGCCGGGGGCGGCCUCUCGGACUUCACUGUCUGGGAGUCAGAAUCGGCGAUGUUACUUUGAGUAAAUUAGAGUGUUCAAAGCAAGCUUACGCUCUGAAUAUAAUAGCAUGGGAUAACACGACAGGACUCUGGCCUAUCGUGUUGGUCUAUAGGACCAGAGUAAUGAUUAAGAGGGACAGUCGGGGGCAUUCGUAUUCCGUUGUCAGAGGUGAAAUUCUUGGAUUUACGGAAGACGAACAUCUGCGAAAGCAUUUGCCAAGGAUGUUUUCAUUGA
rnacentral:rRNA from 1 species